GACGAACGCUGGCGGCGUGCUUAACACAUGCAAGUCGAACGGAAAGGCCCUGCUUUUGUGGGGUGCUCGAGUGGCGAACGGGUGAGUAACACGUGAGUAACCUGCCCUUGACUUUGGGAUAACUUCAGGAAACUGGGGCUAAUACCAGAUAGGAGCUCCUGCUGCAUGGUGAGGGUUGCAAAGUUUCGGCGGUAGGGGAUGGACUCGCGGCUUAUCAGCUUGUUGGUGGGGUAGUGGCUUACCAAGGCUUUGACGGGUAGACGGCCCGAGAGGGUGACCGGCCACAGGGGGAGUGAGAUACGGCCCAGAGUCCUACGGGAUGCAGCAGUGGGGAAUAAUGCACGAUGGACGGAAGCCGGGUGCAGGAUCGCCGCGUGCUGGAUUGCAGCCUUCGUGUGUAAGGCCGGUUUCGGCUGUAACUGUGCGUUGGUGACGGUAAUUUAUAAAGAAGCACCGGCUAACUACGUG
rnacentral:rRNA from 1 species